rnacentral:rRNA from 1 species
GUCCUUCGGGAAUGCUGACGACCGGCGCACGGGUGAGUAACGCGUAUGCAACCUUCCUGUAUCUGGAGGAUAGGCCUUGGAAACGAGGAUUAAUACUGCGUAAUAUUAUAUUAUCGCAUGGUAAAAUAAUCAAAUCUACGGAGGAUACAGAUGGGCAUGCGUGCCAUUAGCUAGAUGGUAAGGUAAGGGCUUACCAUGGCGACGAUGGCUAGGGGUUCUGCAAGGAAGAUCCCCCACACUGGUACUGAGACACGGACCAGACUCCUACGGGAGGCAGCAGUGAGGAAUAUUGGUCAAUGGAGGCAACUCUGAACCAGCCAAGCCGCGUGAAGGAAGACUGUUCUAUGAAUUGUAAACUUCUUUUGUGACAGAGUAAAGAUAGCUACGCGUAGUUAUUUGCAAGUAUGUCAUGAAUAAGCAUCGGCUAACUCCGUGCCAGCAGCCGCGGUAAUACGGAGGAUGCAGGCGUUAUCCGGAUUUAUUAGGUUUAAAGGGUGUUCAGGCUGUCUGGUAAGUCAGAGGUGAAAGUCGGUUGCUUAACGAUCGAAUUGCCUUUGAAACUGUCAGACUUGAGUAUGGAUGCGGUAGGCGGAAUGUGUAGUGUAGCGGUGAAAUGCAUAGAUAUUACACAGAACACCGAUUGCGAAAGCAGCUUACCAAACCAGCACUGACGCUGAAGCACGAAAGCGUGGGUAGCGAACAGGAUUAGAUACCCUGGUAGUCCACGCAGUAAACGAUGCUCACUCGCUGUUGGCAAUAGAUCGUCAGCGGCUAAGGGAAACCGAUAAGUGAGCCACCUGGGGAGUACGAUCGCAAGAUUGAAACUCAAAGGAAUUGACGGGGGCCCGCACAAGCGGUGGAACAUGUGGUUAUUCGAUGAUACGCGAGGAACCUUACCUGGGCUUAAAUGUACGAUGCAUAAGUGUGAAGCACUUUCCUUCGGGACUUUGUACAAGGUGCUGCAUGGUGUCGUCAGCUCGUGCCGAGGUUCGGUUAAGUCCCAUACGAGCGCAACCCCUAUUGUUAG